rnacentral:snRNA from 1 species
CUUUUAUCAACAAACUCUU